CAGUCGCCGCGGGAAUACGUAGGGUGCGAGCGUUAAUCGGAAUUACUGGGCGUAAAGCGUGCGCAGGCGGUUAUAUAAGACAGAUGUGAAAUCCCCGGGCUCAACCUGGGACCUGCAUUUGUGACUGUAUAGCUAGAGUACGGUAGAGGGGGAUGGAAUUCCGCGUGUAGCAGUGAAAUGCGUAGAUAUGCGGAGGAACACCGAUGGCGAAGGCAAUCCCCUGGACCUGUACUGACGCUCAUGCACGAAAGCGUGGGGAGCAAAUAGGAUUAGAUACCCCGGUAGUCCCUGUCUCUUAUAC
rnacentral:rRNA from 1 species